GCUUACACAUGCAGUCGAACGAUGAAGCCCAGCUUGCUGGGUGGAUUAGUGGCGAACGGGUGAGUAACACGUGAGUAACCUGCCCUUAACUCUGGGAUAAGCCUGGGAAACUGGGUCUAAUACCGGAUAGGAGCGUCCACCGCAUGGUGGGUGUUGGAAAGAUUUAUCGGUUUUGGAUGGACUCGCGGCCUAUCAGCUUGUUGGUGAGGUAAUGGCUCACCAAGGCGACGACGGGUAGCCGGCCUGAGAGGGUGACCGGCCACACUGGGACUGAGACACGGCCCAGACUCCUACGGGAGGCAGCAGUGGGGAAUAUUGCACAAUGGGCGAAAGCCUGAUGCAGCGACGCCGCGUGAGGGAUGACGGCCUUCGGGUUGUAAACCUCUUUCAGUAGGGAAGAAGCGAAAGUGACGGUACCUGCAGAAGAAGCACCGGCUAACUACGUGCCAGCAGCCGCGGUAAUACGUAGGGUGCGAGCGUUAUCCGGAAUUAUUGGGCGUAAAGAGCUCGUAGGCGGUUUGUCGCGUCUGUCGUGAAAGUCCGGGGCUUAACCCCGGAUCUGCGGUGGGUACGGGCAGACUAGAGUGCAGUAGGGGAGACUGGAAUUCCUGGUGUAGCGGUGGAAUGCGCAGAUAUCAGGAGGAACACCGAUGGCGAAGGCAGGUCUCUGGGCUGUAACUGACGCUGAGGAGCGAAAGCAUGGGGAGCGAACAGGAUUAGAUACCCUGGUAGUCCAUGCCGUAAACGUUGGGCACUAGGUGUGGGGACCAUUCCACGGUUUCCGCGCCGCAGCUAACGCAUUAAGUGCCCCGCCUGGGGAGUACGGCCGCAAGGCUAAAACUCAAAGGAAUUGACGGGGGCCCGCACAAGCGGCGGAGCAUGCGGAUUAAUUCGAUGCAACGCGAAGAACCUUACCAAGGCUUGACAUGUUCUCGAUCGCCGUAGAGAUACGGUUUCCCCUUUGGGGUGGGUUCACAGGUGGUGCAUGGGUGUCGUCAGCUCGUGUCGUGAGAUGUUGGGUUAAGUCCCGCAAC
rnacentral:rRNA from 2 species